rnacentral:lncRNA from 1 species
UUCACACGAGGAUUUUUUAACAUUAAAUAUCAUAGCGUGUAUUUUUCCUGUCCACGUAUCUUUAAAUGAGCUGCAGUACUCGGGAUUCUUUGUGUGCUCUGUAAGGUGUGUGGGGCGUUACGAGAGCCGUUUGUGGGAUGCCGGCCUAAAUGCGGCGCUUCCGGCGCUGCAUGGUUACAUUUGUUGCUUUACCCGUGAGGCUCCUUGGAACUCGUUGCGUAACAAUGUAACUGCAGGCGGAGGCGGCUGGGAAGUCAGCACGGCCGUUACGUGCGGUUGUGCAGGCGCGCCAUCUUCCUGAGGAGCAGCGGCUCGAAGCCUUCUGUGAGCUGCCUUGUGAAAUCAAAGUUUCUCAUUGCUAUGUUCCUGACAGAAUCAUAGCAGAAAGGGAAAGAUAUCAGGAAAGGAUCGCCAUGUAUUGGAGUGUUGGCUCUUUGUCAAGGUUACCAUUACUUGGCCUUCUGAUACUUAGCUGCAAAAUGCCAUUCUGGAAUACAAGACGUAGACUUGGAAACAUGCGCUAGCCUCCUGGAAGAGCUGCAUCUAUUUCAAUAAAUGCAAUCUCUUG